rnacentral:ncRNA from 1 species
AGAAAAGCGAUGAGAAGGAGUAGGAUCCUCUGGCUCUUUACCACAGAGAGCCCAACCUUGGCUGGAAGUUGGGCGUAAAUCCAGAAGGAGCGCUCGCCUUCGAGCUUUCUUCUGAACGGCCGGCUGUGCGGCCGGUGCCAGUAGGAAGAAACGGCAGUGGCCGUUAACCACAGAGUUUGAGAACCAUUCUCGAACUCGCAGAGGUCAACCGUCGCGAGACGUUGACAAAUUUGGGUGGUACCGUGGAAGCUAGCUCUUUCGCCCCAAUC